CCACAGCUGUGACCCAAGCCACAGCAGUGACAACGCUGGGUCCUUAACCUGCUGCACCAUCAGGGAACUCCUAUAAUUUUUCAAAUAUCCGUAGGUCUUUCUUUUAGAGCCUUCUUUGUUGGCUUCUAUUUAUAAUUUUCCUUUAGAUAACCUAUAAUCCAGAUUUUUAUCUUGUGCAUUUAAAACUCUUUACCUUCAUUGUUCCCUAGCUUUCCUCCCAUCCCAUAACCCCUACACACACACUUUUCCUUAUUCUUUGGAUUCAAACACCUAGGAUGCUUAAGGCUGGCCUGGUUUACAGUCCCGUGGAUUCAUGACUGUCUGCGGAGGGCAUUUGGGCAAAAAUGUAUUGGUGACCGCAACCUCUCUGCUGGCAGCACUGGCUGCCUGUUGGGUCCUCCUGGUGAGGUCCUCCGGGCACCUUAAACUUGGCAGUUCCUCAGCUGAAAUUCAGUGGCAUGCCCUAUCCUCCUCAGUACCAGCAUCCACAGGCACUCAGGCCAAAAAAAUGUAAGUUGUCCUGGACACCCUCCUUCUCCCUCAAUCCAUGCAUCAAAACAUCAUCAAGUUCAUGGGAGUUCCCGCUGUGGCUCAGUGGGUUAAGAACCCAACUAGUAUCCAUGCGUAUUCGGAUUCAAUCCCUGGCCUCGCUCAGUGGGUUAGGAUCUGGUGUUGCCGUGAGCUGUGGUGUAGCUUGCAGCCGUGGCUCAGAUCCUGAGUUGCUCUGGCUGUGGUGUAGGCUGGCAGCUGCAGCUCCAAUUCAACCCCUAGUCUGGGAACUUCCAUAUGCCACGGGUGCCUUCCCCCCCCAAAAAAAAGCAAAAAAUAAAAAAUAAAAAUAUCACUAAGUUCUGCAAAUACAUUGCAGAAUAUAUUUCCUGGCCAAAUUUUGCAAAUUGGGGUUCUCUCUACCAGCUCUUCUCUCACCUGGGCUGCCCUCAUCUUUCCAUUGGACAACUGCAUGGCUCCGAAAUUGAUCCCCCAGCCCAGGUCCACUCUUCACAUACUACCAGUCUAUUUUAAUUGUGUGGAUCUGAUCCUGUCAGUACCUUGCUUAAAGCCUUCGGUUGCUCCUCUCUGCUGCUAGGAUAAAUUCACACUCCUUAGUAUAUGUUACAUGUAGGGUAACAUAUGAUAGGGUCCUCAAUUAUCCAAACCAGGGCAAUGUGUAACUUGGGUGCUAUUAAUAACUACCCUGGGACAAUAGCCAUCUUAGUCUACUUCCACAACACUUUGCUCUUCCCUUAUCUUGCUUCCCAUCCCACAAAGUUGUAAUGUCCUGUUUGGCCCUCUAGGCGGGAGAGAGCGCCUGGGGUGGAGAACCUAGUGGGAUUGUUUCUGUGUUGCCGGCAUCUAGCACAGCGCUUAGAGCGCGCUCCUACUGCGUGCACUUUCCUGGCUGCUGAAUGAAUGGGAAUUGGGCACCGUGUGGUCACCCUGGCGGCUGGGAGCCUAAAGGGGAAGAGGGCACCCGGAGGACCGACAGGCGCUUAGAGCCUCCAGCUGGUUUCCCCAGGGGUCCCUUCCCUCCAGCCUCUGCUUGGCUCCCCCUGGUGGCAGCUCGGCAGUAUUGACAGGACCCAGGGGGGCUGGGGGUGGUGCAGAAAAAGGUUGGGAGGGGGAAGGGUGGUCAGCCAGGCUUCAGGCGCUGGGCAGCCCUGCCCUCAUCGUGCUUCUCCCCUGCCCUCGCCGCAGCCCCUUGGGCACCACUAAGUCCCCACCCACUGUGUCAUCGGCGGCUCUACCCCAAGAACUUAGAGGACAGGGACUACAGUUGGGCAGAGUGGCUCCAGGCUGACUUACGUGUUGGAGGUAGAAAACCUCUGUUCCAUGUAUUGUCCGGGUGAAAUGGAUUGGUCAAGCCUGGCUGUCCUGUUUUGUUUUCUCUUCAAACCCUGAAUCAAAACCCCAAGAUGUGGGGGAAAAAAAAACUCAAGACCUGCAUGAGCUCAUGGCAACUGUAUGGGUGAAGCAAUACGACUGCUGUGGCAAGUGGAUACGCUGAGUUGAACUUGAAGAAUAUAGAAUUGAGCCAGUUGGAAAAAUAAAGCGUGACAGAGAAUGGAAGAGAGGCCUCUCGUCACUCUGCAGGGCUUCAAAUACUUUUCCUCCUUCUGUUUUUAAUUUUACAGUUGGCCGCUGAGCUAUUGGGAAAACUGGGGCAAAGGGCGCAGGAAAGGAGAGCUGGAGAAGAGUUCAACUCUGGUGGCUGCCUUUGGUCUCCCUGGAAUCAUGGGGCGGGGGGGACAGCAGGCUGUCCCCAGGGGCAUGCCAUAGGCCAGCAGCAAAGAGGACCAUGCCCCAUGGACUCAGCCGGAGCAAGGAGCCAGCUGGGUUUCUGAGGCUCGGGGGUGGGUAAGGUUACCAAAGGCUGGGAUGGAAAAGGUUACCCUGCCCUUCUGUGUCUCCUUCCCUUUCACUCUGCAAGCUGAAAACCAAGGGAACAUGCUCCAGAAGAGGGGGCCUAAGGUGCUUCCUAGCAAGAUCGAUGUCCUUAGGAAUAUCACAGGCCAAGGGCAUCCAGGCACGAGAAUGGGCGCUGGGGGAAUGGGCAGUGGUGGCCAGGCCUGUCCAGCCUGUCCAGCCCCCUGCAAGGCCUUGGAUCUUUGCAAUCUUACAGGCCGAGCAGCAAUCAUUAGCACAGAUCUUCUGGGGCCACUUGAGCUUCCUGAAAGCUUUAAGGAAAAGAUCCGUCGCUUCUUCAAUAUUACCCUCUACAUCCCUCGCCCUCCAUUUCUCAUGAACAAACACUCAAAAGAAACAGUGACCCCCUCCCUCCCCAUCCAAGUGCGCCAAAGGUGACAUCAAGUCAGCUUCCCGGUAAUCAGAUUUAAGGGAAACUCUCCGAAAGAGAUUUUACACUGGAAUUUCCUUCAGAUUUGACAACUAACAUCUGGCCUUACUUCAGAUUUAACAUCUGACCAUACGUUCAAUCUUUCUCUUUCUUUUUUUUUUUUUCCCCACAGCAUGUGGAAGUUCCUGGGCCAAGGGAUCAAACUUGCGCCACAGCAGUGACCUGAGCCAACUGCAGUGACAAUGCCAGAUCCUUAACCUGCUGAGCCACCAGAGAGCUCCUGAACAUUCAAUCUUCGCCAGUAGCCUGAUGGAUCCUAACCUGCACGUGCCUUUAGUACAAGGGAUCUGAAUAUGCCCGUUAACAUCUUAGCUCCUCUGCAGUUGUUCUGCUAAGACCUAGACUUUGGAAUAGGUGAUCGAGAAGAAAUGCUUGAACCAAGAUUCUACAGAGGGAGUUCUGGUCGUGGCUCAGUGGUUUAAGAACCCGACUAGAUCCAUGAGGACGUGGGUUCAAUCCCUGGCCUCGCUCAGUGGGUUAAGGAUCCAGCAUUGCCAUGAGCUGUGGUAUAUAGGUCGCAGACGUGGCUCGGAUCCUGCGUUGUUAUGGCUCUGACAUAGGCCAGCAGCUACAGCUCCAGUUAGGCCCCUGACCUGGGAACCUCCACAUGCCACACACAUGCAGCCCUAAAAAGCAAAGCGAGAGAAAGAAAGAAAGAAAGAAAAAAUAUUCUACAGAACAUCAAGACUUAUCCAUCAUAAAAUUUGGAGAAUUUGCUUUAUUCUUAAACAAGGAGUCUGAGACUUGCAGAAAGAGAUCUACAAGAGAAAACGGGCCUCAAAACCUAGUGAAAGGAAUUCCCAUCAUGGCUCAGAGGUUAACGAACCCGACUGGCAUCCAUGAGGAUGCAGGUUCGAUCCCUGGCCUCGCUCACUGGGUUAAGGAUCCAGCGUUGCUGUGAGCUGUGGUGUAGGUUGCAGAUGCAGCUCAGAUCUGGUGUUGCUGUGGCUGUGGCAUAGGCCAUUGGCUACAGCUCUGAUUGGAUCCUUAGCCUGGGACCCUCCAUAUGCCGCAGGUGUGGCC
rnacentral:lncRNA from 1 species